CCUACGGGAGGCAGCAGUGAGGAAUAUUGGUCAAUGGACGAGAGUCUGAACCAGCCAAGUAGCGUGAAGGAUGACUGCCCUACGGGUUGUAAACUUCUUUUAUAAAGGAAUAAAACGAGGCACGUGUGCCUUUUUGCAUGUACUUUAUGAAUAAGGAUCGGCUAACUCCGUGCCAGCAGCCGCGGUAAUACGGAGGAUCCGAGCGUUAUCCGGAUUUAUUGGGUUUAAAGGGAGCGUAGGUGGGUUGUUAAGUCAGUUGUGAAAGUUUGCGGCUCAACCGUAAAAUUGCAAUUGAUACUGGAAGUCUUGAGUACAGUUGAGGUAGGCGGAAUUCGUGGUGUAGCGGUGAAAUGCUUAGAUAUCACGAAGAACCCCGAUUGCGAAGGCAGCUUACUAAACUGUGACUGACAUUGAUGCUCGAAAGUGUGGGUAUCAAACAGGAUUAGAUACCCCUGUAGUC
rnacentral:rRNA from 1 species